rnacentral:rRNA from 1 species
GACGAACCGUGCGAACGUUGUUCGGAAUCACUGGGCUUAAAGGGCGCGUAGGCGGGCUGCCGCGUCUGGGGUGAAAUCCUCCGGCUCAACCGGGGAAGGGCCUCGGGUACGGGCGGCCUCGAGGGGGUAGGGGCGUGCGGAAGCUGUGGGUGGAGCGGUGAAAUGCGUUGAUAUCCACAGGAACUCCGGUGGCGAAGGCGGCACGCUGGACCCCUUCUGACGCUGAGGCGCGAAAGCCAGGGGAGCGAACGGGAUAAGAUGAC